GACGAGGUGAGGGGGCUUGGGGGGCCUCGUCUGGGAGAGUGAGGGACCAGCAGUGAGGGCACCUCAGGAUGUGACAGAAGGCUCCGGGGUGACCGUUGGAAAGGAUGAUGUUGGGAUGAUGCCCUUAGCAUCUUGAUCCUUCUGAUAUCACGAUUCCAGCCUCACCAGUCCAACCCCCUUGAAAAUCUGAGCAUUCAGUGAAUCCUGGGUCAGUAAUUCAGAGGAGAAAAGACGGAUGCCCGGAAAUGAAGAUGGGAGCAAACCAGGAUCUUCGUGGUCUCACUCGACCCCUGUCCAGGGCCUUCGUUUUAUGAUUGAGAUGAGACCGCUCCCUUCCGCGGGGGUGGGGGAGAGAGGAGGCGAUGGAAAGAAGCGUCCUGUAGCUCUAAGCGUCCACCCCUCUGGCCCUCAGAUGGCUCCCUCUGUCCGUCUGGUCCUGCUUCUUGCCGUCUUGCUCAGCCUGGGGGAGACUGCUGCCUCUGUACCUGUCCACCAGGGGCGAGGAGGCUGGACCCUCAACAGCGUGGGCUAUCUCCUGGGUCCCGUGCUCCACCUUCCCCGGAGCGCGGACCACGGAGGGAAGGAGAAGACAGCCCUGGAGGUCCUAGACCCGUGGAAGGCCGUUGAUGGGCUCCCCUAUCCCCGCCCUCAGCGGGCCUCCAAGAGGAGCCUGAGGGAGACCUUUGCCAAAGCAGAGACUGCAGAUCUGGGCAAGCUCAGUGAGAAAGCCCCCAAGGAGGGAGAUGCCCUGCGGUCCUAGAUGUCUCCAGACCUCUGCUCUGCAUCCAUCUCCCCAGCUCCUCCUGAACCCCUGUCUAGCUCCCUCCACUGAGACUGAGAUCCUGAAGUCAAGUCCCUAAAUGUCAUGCAGAAAAUUUAGAGCAUUGGGAUAAUUUUCAUAAAAGUCCCCAGGCUGCCUCAGGUUUCACUGAUUUAUCCUUGGAAGAGAGCGCCAGCAGAGGGAGGGCCCGAGGGAGGAGCAGGUUCCUGCUGAGUGCGGAGCCCGAUGUGGGGCUCAAUCCCAGGACCCUGAGAUCAGGACCUGAGACGAAACCAAGAGUCCGAUGCUUAACGGACUGAGACACGCAGCCGCCCCUGAAAUUCACCAUCUAAACCACGUUUCGGCGUCCAGUUCAGUGGCAUAAAGGACCUUCACACUGUGCAACUGUCACCACCAUCCACAGAGCCCUUUGCGUCUUAACUGAAGGUCUGCCCGCGUUGCAGGACCACUCCCCAGGAACCCGGCCCAGCUCACUGGCACCGCAGUCCUGCUUGAUGUCUUCAAUCCCAGCAUCUGUCUUUUCGUGUCUGGAUUGUCUCACUUAUCAUAAUGUCCUCAAGCUUCGUCCCUGUUGUGGGGUGUGGUAGGAUUCUCUUCCUUUUAAGGCUGAAUAAUAUUCCCUAUCUCCUGGGUGCUUAAAAAAAAAAAAAAAAUCCUGUCGAAGCCCCACCCUAAACGGAGAAAAUCAGACCAGAUGAUCGGAGGGUGGGGCAAAGCCAUGGGUGGUCUCGUUGGCUCUCCGUGUUCCUGGUGAACGCUGGCUGAGAACCUCAGGUGUAUCGAGUGCUUCCUUCCACUGAGGCCCCGAUCUGAGGUUUUACUUGGUAGGAUUACACCAAAGGCGCGUGAACUGUGAAUUAACCUGUCACUGAGGGUAUUGGAGCUGGAACAGGUCAGUGUCUGGCUUACUGGAUUUUGCCAGGUUUAUCAGCUAGAGUCAGUACCCCUCUUCUGGGGUUUCUCAACCUCGGCACUCUGGACAUUUCGGUUGGGAUCAUUCUUUAUGUGGGGCUGUCCUGUGCAUGAUAGGAUGUUGAGCAGCAUCCUGGUCUCUGUGUCAAGAUGGCAGGAGCACCCUCUCCCCAGUUGUGACAACCAAACACGUCUCUAGACAUUGUUGAAUGUUCACGUGGGGCGAAAUUAUCCUAUCCUAAAGGAUACUAACUCAUGGGGCCAAAUAAGGACACAGCUAAUUAAAAAAAAAUCAACAAAGAUGGGCGCCUGGGUGGCUCAGUCGUUAAGCAUCUGCCUUCAGCUCAGGUCAUGAUCCCAGGGUCCUGGGAUCGAGCCCCGCAUCGGGUUCCCUGCUCAGUGGGAAGCCUGCUUCUCCCUCUGCCCCUCCCCCCACUUGUGUUCCCUCUCUCGCUAUCUCUCUGUCAAGUAAAUAAAUAAAAAUCUUUAUAAAAAAAUCAACAAAGAAUAUAAA